UCUCCUACGCAGCCAUAGCCGCCUCCCCCAACCAACUCCCUCCCUCAGAUCUCGAUCCGCCGCCGGCCCCAACCACCCCCCACCGCCACCGUAGACGAGGUCGAGGCUGACCCAAGAUCGAGUCCAUGCCCAGACUCGCGAUGGGCGUAGCGGGGAUGGGAUCCCAUCCCAUCCCGCUCCUCCUCCUCCUCCUCUCAGACUCCACCGAUUCCUCCCCAAAUCCAGCCGCCCGCCGAACUCCUCUCCCCCAACCCCACCGCCACCGGCGACCUCGUCUCCACAGCCCCACCGGCGACCUCCCUCCCUCCCUUCGUCGAGGGCGCCCGAAACCCUAGCCCCUCUCUUCCCGCGCGGACGAGGCGACAGAGAUGGCCAAGGAUGCCGCAGAUCCGGCAAUGACGGCGCCAGAAUCCGCACCCAACCGCGGUGGCUGCUGCACCAGCAUCACGAGACGGUGAUGGGGGGUCCCUAGCCCUUGACGACGGCGAGGUACGAGAUGGGCUGCAGCACCUAGACGCCCAGACCCGACCUUUUCUUUCUCUCUGCGCCCGACCACGGCCACGGCAAUGGCAACGGCAAGGGGAACCCGACCGGUGAUGCGUUCGUUCGCAGCCUCACAAUGUUCAGCUUACUGAAGACAAACUUCCUCAAGAGGUCCGCGUAUUGCUCGAUGACGCUGUUGUUGCAGCAUCGUCCUCCUCGACCACAACUACCGCGCCCGCGUCUCUGACUUGGGCACCGCCAAGGUCCACCACAACUGCAGAAACGUCCUCCUCGACCACAUCCACGCGGGGCAGAAGGAGUGAACAGCUACUUGUAUCUGGAAUGGAGCUCUCGCUUUAGAUAGCAUGCAAGAAUUUCCCUCACUCGCGUCAUUUAUGUUCCGAAUUGCCCUUCAGCGCCACUACUCACCCGAAGAAUUGUGUAAUG